GCGGAAGUAGCUCAGUUGGUAGAGCAUCUGAUUGUGGCUCAGAGGGCCGAGAGUUCAAGCCUCUUCUUUCGCCCCA
rnacentral:tRNA from 1 species